rnacentral:rRNA from 1 species
CCUGUGAGGGUUGCUGGAGGUAUCAGAAGUGCGAAUGCUGACAUAAGUAACGAUAAAGCGGGUGAAAAGCCCGCUCGCCGGAAGACCAAGGGUUCCUGUCCAACGUUAAUCGGGGCAGGGUGAGUCGACCCCUAAGGCGAGGCCGAAAGGCGUAGUCGAUGGGAAACAGGUUAAUAUUCCUGUACUUGGUGUUACUGCGAAGGGGGGACGGAGAAGGCUAUGUUAGCCGGGCGACGGUUGUCCCGGUUUAAGCAUGUAGGCUGGUUGUCCAGGCAAAUCCGGAUAAUCAAGGCUGAGGUGUGAUGACGAGGCACUACGGUGCUGAAGUAACAAAUGCCCUGCUUCCAGGAAAAGCCUCUAAGCAUCAGGUAACAUCAAAUCGUACCCCAAACCGACACAGGUGGUCAGGUAGAGAAUACCAAGGCGCUUGAGAGAACUCGGGUGAAGGAACUAGGCAAAAUGGUGCCGUAACUUCGGGAGAAGGCACGCUGGUGUGUAGGUGAAGUCCCUGCGGAUGGAGCUGAGACCAGUCGAAGAUACCAGCUGGCUGCAACUGUUUAUUAAAAACACAGCACUGUGCAAACACGAAAGUGGACGUAUACGGUGUGACGCCUGCCCGGUGCCGGAAGGUUAAUUGAUGGGGUUAUCCGUAAGGAGAAGCUCUUGAUCGAAGCCCCGGUAAACGGCGGCCGUAACUAUAACGGUCCUAAGGUAGCGAAAUUCCUUGUCGGGUAAGUUCCGACCUGCACGAAUGGCGUAAUGAUGGCCAGGCUGUCUCCACCCGAGACUCAGUGAAAUUGAACUCGCUGUGAAGAUGCAGUGUACCCGCGGCAAGACGGAAAGACCCCGUGAACCUUUACUAUAGCUUGACACUGAACAUUGAGCCUUGAUGUGUAGGAUAGGUGGGAGGCUUUGAAGCGUGGACGCCAGUCUGCGUGGAGCCAACCUUGAAAUACCACCCUUUAAUGUUUGAUGUUCUAACGUUGGCCCCUUACCGGGGUUGCGGACAGUGUCUGGUGGGUAGUUUGACUGGGGCGGUCUCCUCCCAAAGCGUAACGGAGGAGCACGAAGGUUAGCUAAUCCUGGUCGGACAUCAGGAGGUUAGUGCAAUGGCAUAAGCUAGCUUGACUGCGAGCGUGACGGCGCGAGCAGGUGCGAAAGCAGGUCAUAGUGAUCCGGUGGUUCUGAAUGGAAGGGCCAUCGCUCAACGGAUAAAAGGUACUCCGGGGAUAACAGGCUGAUACCGCCCAAGAGUUCAUAUCGACGGCGGUGUUUGGCACCUCGAUGUCGGCUCAUCACAUCCUGGGGCUGAAGUAGGUCCCAAGGGUAUGGCUGUUCGCCAUUUAAAGUGGUACGCGAGCUGGGUUUAGAACGUCGUGAGACAGUUCGGUCCCUAUCUGCCGUGGGCGCUGGAGAAUUGAGGGGGGCUGCUCCUAGUACGAGAGGACCGGAGUGGACGCAUCACUGGUGUUCGGGUUGUCAUGCCAAUGGCACUGCCCGGUAGCUAAAUGCGGAA